rnacentral:rRNA from 1 species
GUGUCAGCCGCCGCGGUAAUACCAGCCCCGCGAGUGGUCGGGAUGAUUACUGGGCCUAAAGCGCCCGUAGCCGCCUCGGCAAGUCCCCUCCUAAAGCCCCGGGCACAACCCGGGGAGUGGAGGGGAUACUGCCGGGCUAGGGGGCGGGAGAGGCCGAGGGUACUCCCGGGGUAGGGGCGAAAUCCAUUAAUCCCGGGAGGACCACCAGUGGCGAAGGCGCUCGGCUGGAACGCGCCCGACGGUGAGGGGCGAAAGCCGGGGGAGCGAACCGGAUUAGAUACCCGGGUAGUCC